CUGCCGGUAAUAAACCGGAGGAAGGUGGGAUGACGUCAAAUCAUCAUGCCCCUUAUGACCUGGCUACACACGUGCUACAAUGGUUGGUACAACGAGUUGCGAGUCGGUGACGGCGAGCUAAUCUCUUAAAGCCAAUCUCAGUUCGGAUUGUAGGCUGCAACUCGCCUACAUGAAGUCGGAAUCGCUAGUAAUCGCGGAUCAGCACGCCGCGGUGAAUACGUUCCCGGGCCUU
rnacentral:rRNA from 1 species